rnacentral:tRNA from 1 species
GGAGAGGUGCAGGAGUGGCUGAACUGGCACGCCUGGAAAGCGUGUUGGCGUUAAUAGCGCCACGAGGGUUCGAAUCCCUCCC